rnacentral:miRNA from 1 species
UCCAAUGGAUCGGAUGGAUCCAAUGGAUCCGAUGGAUCCAAUGGAUCCAAUGGAUAAAUAGAUAUCCAUCGGAUCCUUUGGAUCCAUUGGAUCCUUUUGAAA